UACGUAGGGUGCAAGCGUUAAUCGGAAUUACUGGGCGUAAAGCGUGCGCAGGCGGUUUUGUAAGUCUGUCGUGAAAUCCCCGGGCUCAACCUGGGAAUUGCGAUGGAGACUGCAAGGCUAGAAUCUGGCAGAGGGGGGUAGAAUUCCACGUGUAGCAGUGAAAUGCGUAGAGAUGGUGGAGGAACACCGAUGGCGAAGGCAGCCCC
rnacentral:rRNA from 1 species